AGGUAAGUACUUCUUUUAUUUUAAAGUUUUUGGUCUCAUUUUGUACGUUAUUAGCUUUCACUUAUCAAGUUUCAGUAAAUCGAAAAUAAUUCACAUCUUUCUGGAUGGAUUCCAGCAAAAGUCAAUAAUAACAGUUUGUGUAUCUGUAUCAUGAGUACUAUUGCUUCUAAAAGUAUUGUUCUAGAAACCAUAGAGUGUAAAAGCAAUUAAAAGACCGUACUGUAUUAUUAAAGAUUUCAAGGAAUGGAUGGAUAAAUAGAGAUGCUACUAACAAUUUCCUAAGCAUGUGAAUGAUAUCUGGUCUAAACGUGUCGACUUGUACAAGUGGUCUUUUCAACAAAAGUAUACUUCAAAAACAUUAAAAAUUGUUUGCAGUUAAAAGCGCAACCAGAGUAGGAAACUGUAAAAUUAGACUGUGGUAUUGUUAUAAUACUAGUAAAAGUACUAUUCAUAUUUUAGCCAAAAUGUCGAAUACGUUCGCUCCAUUGUGGGUGCUACUCCAGUAAGAAAAGCACUGCCUCACUUCUUUUUAGAAAACACUCUGCCUUUCAUAAAUUGGGAUGGCCGCCAGAAAAAAUGUCCAGUUAAAUCUCUAAAAUUUUUUAAAGAAAUUGUGUUCUGAAUGGAUUUCGAAAAAUUCGAUCUUGAAAUGAGGAGAGGCUUUCGGAUUUUUAAAAACAAAUAUAUAAAAAUAAUAGUGUAC